GAGAGCUUCAACCGCUCUGGGUUAGCUGACAGACUGAUUCUGUUGCUAAAAAGCUCUGUAGGUGAGCCCGAUUAAGG
rnacentral:lncRNA from 1 species